UGCUCCGCAAGCAACCGCAUCAUUGCUGC
rnacentral:piRNA from 1 species